GACGAACGCUGGCGGCGUGCUUAACACAUGCAAGUCGAACGCAUCCUUCGGGGUGAGUGGCAGACGGGUGAGUAACGCGUGGGAACGUGCCCUUCAGUUCGGGAUAACCCAGGGAAACUUGGGCUAAUACCGGAUACGUGCGAGAGCAGAAAGAUUUAUCGCUGAAGGAUCGGCCCGCGUCUGAUUAGCUAGUUGGUGGGGUAAUGGCCCACCAAGGCGACGAUCAGUAGCUGGUCUGAGAGGAUGAUCAGCCACAUUGGGACUGAUACACGGCCCAAACUCCUACGGGAGGCAGCAGUGGGGAAUAUUGGACAAUGGGCGCAAGCCUGAUCCAGCCAUGCCGCGUGAGUGAUGAAGGCCUUAGGGUUGUAAAGCUCUUUCGUCCGGGACGAUAAUGACGGUACCGGAAAGAGAAGCCCCGGCUAACUUCGUGCCAGCCGCCGCCGUAA
rnacentral:rRNA from 1 species